rnacentral:rRNA from 1 species
UCGGCUUGCAGUGGGGAAUAUUGCGCAAUGGGGGCAACCCUGACGCAGCAACGCCGCGUGAGUGAGGAAGGUUUUCGGACUGUAAAGCUCUGUCGAGCGGGAAGAAGUGUAUGGUGGCUAAUAUCCAUCAUAUUUGACGGUACCGCUAGAGGAAGCACCGGCUAACUCCGUGCCAGCAGCCGCGGUAAUACGGGGGGUGCAAGCGUUGUUCGGAAUCAUUGGGCGUAAAGAGCGUGUAGGCGGCUAGAUAAGUCAGAUGUGAAAGCCCUGGGCUUAACCCAGGAAGUGCAUUUGAAACUGUCUUGCUAGAGUAAGGGAGAGGAAAGUGGAAUUCCUGGUGUAGAGGUGAAAUUCGUAGAUAUCAGGAGGAACACCGGUGGCGAAGGCGACUUUCUGGCCCUAUACUGACGCUGAGACGCGAGAGCGUGGGUAGCAAACAGGAUUAGAUACCCGAGUAGUCCAAGCCGAA